UGAAAGGGGUACUUCCUGUUGUAACCAAGCGCGAAUUAGCUUAUCGGCAAUAUAAAGACGGAGAAGGAUAAGGACGCGGAGAGAAAUCACCACAUAAAUAUGUAUUUUGCACCUAGCAGCCGCUUUGAAAGAGGCACAAGCUCUUACGGUGAAAUUUGAGGGUUUAAUGCCAAUAAACCUGAAAAAUCAUCGGUGUCAUCCUUCAAUCAAGGGGGUAUGCUACAUUUGCAGGCUGAAGGCAGCUGACACUAACAGACUUAACAAGCUCAUCAGGAGAGCUGGCUCUGUCCUGGGGGUUGAGCUGGAGUCUGUGGUGGAGAUGUCAGAGAGGAGGAAGCUGAGGAAGCUGCUCAGCAUCACAGACAACACCUCUCACCCCCUACAUGCCACACUGAUGUCCUGUCAGAGCUCCUUCAGUCACAGACUGAGACCACUGAGAUGCACCACAGAACGACACAGGAGGUCUUUCCUACCUGUGGAAAUCAGACUGUACAAUUCCUCCCUCUGCUGCAGGAGGGAUACAUGAUCAACGGACUUAUUUCCAUGUGCAGCAUCAUCAGACUUUUCCUUGACAGUCUCACUAUCUGUAUUAUCAUUGUUCACGUGCAAUAUUUCUAUUCAUCUGUUUACUUUUAUUUUCAGUUCACUUCCUGUUUAUCUGAUUCUUGUUGUUGCUACAGUUUACAUUUUGGAAGUGUGUAAUUUUAUUUUUUAUUUUAUUUAUUUUUUGACACUAUUCCUUGGCAUCCAUUUAGACACUUCACACAAACACUGAGACGCUUUGCAUUUUGUACUUUGUAUUCUUUUUCCAUUUCUAUUUUACUACUAAUCUCUGUGUAAUUGUGUAUAUUUCACUCACCUUUGUUUAUUGUAUUGUACUCUAGCAAAACAAUUUCCUCCAGGAUGAAUAAAGUUUAUUUUAUCUUCCAAUUCUGGAGGAACAACCAGCACAAUGUUGAAAACUCAGA